AAUGGAAAGCCAGCCUUUGUCUCCUGCAGGUCUAGUUAGAGCCUCCUGUAUAAUAAUGGAAACACCUAUUUGUAUUGGUACCUGCAGAAGCCAGGCCAGUCUCCACAGCUCCUGAUUUAUGAGGUUUCCAACCAAGCCUCCGAAUUCUCAGACAGGUUCAGGGGUAAUGGGUCAGGUACUGAGUUUACACUGAAAGUCAGUAGGACGGAGACUAAGGAUGUUGGAGUUUAUUAG